rnacentral:rRNA from 1 species
UGGGGAAUAUUGCGCAAUGGGGGGAACCCUGACGCAGCCAUGCCGCGUGAAUGAAGAAGGCCUUAGGGUUGUAAAGUUCUUUCGGUAUUGAGGAAGGUUGAUGUGUUAAUAGCACAUCAAAUUGACGUUAAAUACAGAAGAAGCACCGGCUAACUCCGUGCCAGCAGCCGCGGUAAUACGGAGGGUGCGAGCGUUAAUCGGAAUAACUGGGCGUAAAGGGCACGCAGGCGGUUAUUUAAGUGAGGUGUGAAAGCCCCGGGCUUAACCUGGGAAUUGCAUUUCAGACUGGGUAACUAGAGUACUUUAGGGAGGGGUAGAAUUCCACAUGUAGCGGCGAAAUGCGUAGAGAUGUGGAGGAAUACCGAAGGCGAAGGCAGCCCCUUGGGAAUGUACUGACGCUCAUGUGCGAAAGCGUGGGGAGCAAACAGGAUUAGAUACCCUGGUAGUCCACGCUGUAAACGCUGUCGAUUUGGGGGUUGGGGUUUAACUCUGGCGCCCGUAGCUAACGUGAUAAAUCGACCGCCUGGGGAGUACGGCCGCAAGGUUA